rnacentral:rRNA from 1 species
UAGGGAAUCUUCCACAAUGGACGCAAGUCUGAUGGAGCAACGCCGCGUGAGUGAAGAAGGCUUUCGGGUCGUAAAACUCUGUUAUUGAAGAAGAACGUGCGUGACAGUAACUGGUCAUGCAGUGACGGUAUUCAAUCAGAAAGUCACGGCUAACUACGUGCCAGCAGCCGCGGUAAUACGUAGGUGGCAAGCGUUGUCCGGAUUUAUUGGGCGUAAAGCGAGUGCAGGCGGUCUUUUAAGUCUGAUGUGAAAGCCUUCGGCUUAACCGAAGAAGGGCAUCGGAAACUGGGAGACUUGAGUGCA